CCUACGGGAGGCAGCAGUGGGGAAUAUUGGACAAUGGGGGCAACCCUGAUCCAGCCAUGCCGCGUGUGUGAAGAAGGCCCUCGGGUUGUAAAGCACUUUCAGUGAGGAAGAACGCCUGGUGGUUAAUACCCAUCAGGAAAGACAUCACUCACAGAAGAAGCACCGGCUAACUCCGUGCCAGCAGCCGCGGUAAUACGGAGGGUGCGAGCGUUAAUCGGAAUUACUGGGCGUAAAGCGCGCGUAGGUGGCUUGAUAAGCCGGUUGUGAAAGCCCCGGGCUCAACCUGGGAACGGCAUCCGGAACUGUCAAGCUAGAGUGCAGGAGAGGAAGGUAGAAUUCCCGGUGUAGCGGUGAAAUGCGUAGAGAUCGGGAGGAAUACCAGUGGCGAAGGCGGCCUUCUGGACUGACACUGACACUGAGGUGCGAAAGCGUGGGUAGCAAACAGGAUUAGAUACCCUAGUAGUC
rnacentral:rRNA from 1 species